rnacentral:rRNA from 1 species
AGCGAACGCUGGUGGCAGGCUUAACACAUGCAAGUCGAACGCCCCGCAAGGGGAGUGGCAGACGGGUGAGUAACGCGUGGGAAUCUACCCAGUUCUGCGGAACAACAGUUGGAAACGACUGCUAAUACCGCAUACGCCCUACGGGGGAAAGAUUUAUCGGAAUUGGAUGAGCCCGCGUUGGAUUAGCUAGUUGGUGGGGUAAUGGCCUACCAAGGCGACGAUCCAUAGCUGGUCUGAGAGGAUGAUCAGCCACACUGGGACUGAGACACGGCCCAGACUCCUAUGGGAGGCAGCAGUGGGGAAUAUUGGACAAUGGGCGCAAGCCUGAUCCAGCCAUGCCGCGUGAGUGAUGAAGGCCUUAGGGUUGUAAAGCUCUUUCAGUAGGGAAGAUAAUGACGGUACCUACAGAAGAAGCCCCGGCUAACUUCGUGCCAGCCGCCGCCGUAAAAC